rnacentral:ncRNA from 1 species
AAUAUAUUUUAUUUUGGUAUUUAUAAUUUCUUGUUUCUUUUAUUUACAUGUCAGUUAUCGCUUGCAUAUUUUAAAAUCUUUCCGACAGUAAAUAUUUUUAAUUAUGAAAGAAAUUUCGAAUUAGAAAUUGACUUUAGAAUUAACUAAUUUUGUGCCAGCAGUUGCGGUUAAACAAUAAAUUCAGAGAAAUUACAAAAUAAUAUUAAUUAUAAUGAAUAAACAGAAUAAAAAUAUUUAAUUUUAAGGUAAAAUUUUUAAUUUGAUCUAAUGUUCAACUUUAUAAAUUGAGAAAUUAUUAGUUAAACCAGGAUUAGAUACCCUGUUAUUUUUAUGUAAAUUUUUGGAGUAGUAAAAGUUACGAUCUCGAAACUCAAAAGAUUUGGCGGUACUUUAUCUUAUCAGAGGAACCUGUUUAUUAAUUGAUAUUCCACAAUUAUUAUUUACUUUUAUUAAAUUACUUGUAUACCGCUGUCAUGAGUAUAUUAAGAAAUUUUAUUUUCUGUGGUUUUUAUGAAAUUUAUGUUAGGUCAAGGUGCAGUAUUUAAAAGAAAAAAAUGGGUUACACUAAAUAUUAUGGAUGGAAUUAGUUAAAUUGAAUACUAAGAAAAUUGGAUUUGAAAGUAAAAGAAUUUAUAAAAAUAAUAUGAAUAAAGAUUCUAAAGUAUGCACACAUUGCCCGUCACUCUUGUUUAAAGCAAGAUAAGUCGUAACAUAGUAGAUGUACCGGAAGGUGUAUCUGGAAUUAA